GAUGAAGAACGUAGCGAAAUGCGAUAAGUAAUGUGAAUUGCAGAAUUCCGUGAAUCAUCGAAUCUUUGAACGCACAUUGCGCCCGCCAGUAUUCUGGCGGGCAUGCAUGUUCGAGCGUCAUUUCAACCCUCAAGCCCAGCUUGGUGUUGGGGAUCGGCACAGGCGCCCUCGGGCGCCCGCCGUCCCCUAAAUCUAGUGGCGGUCCCGCUGCAGCCUCCUCUGCGUAGUAGUUUUCUCCUCGCAAGGGCAGCUCGGUGGCGACCUCGCCGUAAAACCCCCAACUUCUGAAAGGUUGACCUCGAAUCAGGUAGGAAUACCCGCUGAACUUAAGCAUAUCAAUAAGCGGAGGA
rnacentral:misc_RNA from 1 species